UCCCCCGUCGCCACCCUCGGUACCCUCCUUAGAAAAGAUCCCUCCCUCCCCAUGGGUUCACUCUCCGAGCUCGGAUCUGGAUGUAGAGCGCCGUGGGAGUCUUUUGCCCUCUGCUCUAUCUUCCUCUGGACCCUGAAGCUUAAGCAUUAUCCGCCUCUCUCCCUCUCUUUUUAGAAAUAGGAGGGAAAGGUAGAGUGGAAAUUGAUUUCUUGCAGAGACUGAGGCGCCGAAAGAUAGAGGGAAUAAACAUUUGCCCUGGAUAAAAAUGUUCUUGGCUGUGUUCCUGCCCUAAUAAGGAUCUAGAGCAGAAGAUUUUCUUCAGUCAUCAAACUUUACCCAAAAGAUUACUGUUGUGUUAUAUGUCUGUUUUACACAGGUUGACAGAUGUUGGUAGGGGGAUCUGAGGUCCACACAAGGAGGUUGAAUGUCCUGAAUUAGAUUUGUUACAAAUUCAACCUUAACAAUUGUGAUAUAUAGAGAGCAUAGUUUGCAUAUAUGAUCUUUUUAUGCUGUCUAAAUCUACUUACCUAAAUUGCUAUUCAAAAAAAUACAGUUGUUUGUUGAGGCCCAACCUGACUUAAGUUAGAAAAUGUAACAUUAAAAUUUUUAUUUUAUAUG